GUAUGUAUAUAGACUCUAGAGGCGGUUCUGAAAAAAUUGGGGCACAAUUGUUGGAAUACUGAGAGGCAAAAAUAUAAACCUCAAGGUUUUCAUGUAUCUUCUACUAAAUUAAUUGGAUCAAUGCUGAGUCAUUUCCCCCUUUGCCGAGGUAGAAACCAAAGUGGUUCUUGUGAGAUGACGGAAAACCUAGUUAAUCCACCCGACCCCAUAACAAGGAUUUCUCUGAACUUGCCCCAGGCCGGAUGGUCCCAACUCACCUUCUUGGUGACCCUCUAUUAACAUAUGUAAAGACUUUCAAAGUGACUUCUAAAGCUGUCCUGUUUUGUUUAAAGGCUGCUGACAGCUUUCUGACUCCAUUCCCAAGCCUGAACUUAUGAAUUUAUUGCAUUGCUAUCCUGUGAAGACUAAACCAGAUCUAGGUAAUUUCAGGCUAUUAAUGGAAAUUAUUUCAGUCUCCGUUACCUCAGUUCUCCCCAGCACGCAUCCCACACUCACACUCUCUGGCCCCAGCUACUCUAUGCCUUCACCACCACGCUAUGGCUCAUGGAACAUGGUGUUUCUCAGGGCAAAACAGCUGGGUAACCAACAGGGGUACUGUUUAAGAUGUAUAAUCAAGAGCCCAAGGAUGGCUGAGGAGAAGACAGGUCAACCCUCUCAGGAGAAAGUCAGGAUGCUCUGCCCAGUUUCCAGACCUAAGCUGCUUCUCAGACCCAGAAUCCGUUGACUGAAGGAGAAGCUAAGUCCUCAUGAGGGUGGAUCCUGCAACCACAGAGCAAGAGUCAGUCCUUCCUCAAGGACCUACGCCCGCUAAUUCAGGCAAAACUCUACCAGAAGACCAAGGGAGCAGUGUGGGUACUGGGACCUUUGUGUGGAUUCGCCCUGAAUGUUACUCAGCGGUAAGAACCCUAGAAGGAAGGUCGGGGUCCUGGUUCUAGGAGUCAGCUCUGCCAUUAACCUCCUGUGUCAUUCAAGUCCUUUUCUCUGGGCAUCCAUUCCCUCAAGGAUGAAAUGUGGCAUUGAAUUGCAUACUCACUAAGGACUAGUUCUGCUCUAUUUCUAUGUGGUUUGCUGACCUUCUGACCUUUUCUGAAUACUUGUUUUUUUGUUCUGGCCUCCCUCCAGCUGUCAGAUCAGCCGUCGACACUGAAAUAAUAAAGUUUGUAUUGAGGAUCCAUUCCUGCCAGGCAGGAGAAG
rnacentral:lncRNA from 1 species